UGAACGAGACAUCACCUCGUAUUAUUAUUAUUUUUUCCCCCUCCUAUCAUUAAUUCACUUGGCAUAGAUAGCUAAGAGCUAUCGUCUUAGAUUCCUCCUCCUCUUCACCUACAAUUUUCCUAGUACUCGAUCUUGCUACGUCAAAUCCCCCAAGCUUCACGCAAUCCCCCAAGCUUCACGCAACCUCAACUUCUUAAGCUUCUUUCACCUUGGCUUGCUUCUUAAACCCAACCCAUUCGCCAUUCAUGAAUGGUCAAUUGCAGGCUGCAUGGAUUCCCCCAAAAAUUCCUCUAGCUCUUUGAAUAUUGGAGAGCGAAUUUGCGCUGCGCUUUUGCCAUUCGCAGCCAUAAUUGAGGUUUUGAUUUUCGCUGUCACCAAUUGCUUCGAGUUACGCCAUCAGAUUAAGAGAACUACUUACCGCUUGAGUGAUAUAGCUCGCCUUGCCAAUGAAUCUCCAUUUACCGUUAAUGAAGUGGAGGCAUUGUAUGAGCUCUAUAAGAAGUUGAGUUGUUCCAUAAUCGACGAUGGGUUGAUUCAUAAGGAAGAACUUCAAUUAGCACUGUUUCAAACUUCUUAUGGCGAGAAUCUCUUCCUGGACAGGCUAAAAUUCAAUUAUGGUCAUGUUUCAUCUCUGUGCUUUUUAUAUUCUGCAGUUGCAUUUAGGCUGUAUGAUUUGAGACAAACUGGAUUUAUUGAGCAAGAAGAAGUUAGGCAAAUGGUGAUUGCCAUUCUGAUGGAAUCUGAUGUUAAUUUGCCGGAAGAACUUCUUGACGGUAUCAUAGAAAAGGCAAGAAUUAGUAAAAGAUUUCUUCUUCUUCUUCUUUUUAUUUUAUUUUAUUUUUAUUUUUAUUUUUAUUUAUUUUACUUCUCCCAUCUUCUUGGGCACUCAAGCUCAUAAUACCUUGAAUCUUCAUUAAGACAUUUGUUGAAGUGGAUGCUGAUAAGGAUGGUAAAAUCAGUAAAGAUGAAUGGAAAGCUUUUGUGAUAAAACAUCCAUCUCUACUGAAGAAUAUGACUCUUCCUUAUUUGAAGGACAUAACCACUGCAUUUCCAAGUUUUAUUUUUAACACUGAGGUUGAAGAUUGAAUCCGAAACUUUUCGUAGCAUUUCCCAAACAAGGUGUUUGGAGGAUUCAGUUGCACACAGAACUGCUUUGUGCAAUAAAUCAUGUUGUUUUGCUUGAAACAUGCAUUCAACUGGGAGAGAGGGAAGUCAUUGUCUUUGCAAAGCAAGACCAUAGUGGUGGAAGCGGCAGCAGCAGCAGCAGCAUGACAAAAUCAUUCUGAUCAAUCUCUGCCAAUCAUAGGCUAUGGGAUUUCAUUUUUUAUGGUCUAAUCUAACGCCUGUGCUGUACAGUUUUUGGAAUGAAACUGUUCAGUUAUUACCCCAAAUUUGGCAUUUAUUAAUGUUAAAUAUGCCCUCCAUUUGUCUUCCCCUCGUACUCAAUGUUUUGUUUAUAGUGGCGUAUGUUUUGUGAUGAUAUUUUAAUCGAAACGCAUCUAAAUUUUUAUUCA